GACGAACGCUGGCGGCGUGCUUAACACAUGCAAGUCGAACGGAAAGGCCCUGCUUUUGUGGGGGGCUCGAGUGGCGAACGGGUGAGUAACACGUGAGUAACCUGCCCUUGACUUUGGGAUAACUUCAGGAAACUGGGGCUAAUACCGGAUAGGAGCUCCUGCUGCAUGGUGGGGGUUGGAAAGUUUCGGCGGUUGGGGAUGGACUCGCGGCUUAUCAGCUUGUUGGUGGGGUAGUGGCUUACCAAGGCUUUGACGGGUAGCCGGCCUGAGAGGGUGACCGGCCACAUUGGGACUGAGAUACGGCCCAGACUCCUACGGGAGGCAGCAGUGGGGAAUAGUGCACAAUGGGCGGAAGCCUGAUGCAGCAACGCCGCGUGCGGGAUGACGGCCUUCGGGUUGUAAACCGCUUUCGCCUGUGACGAAGCGUGAGUGACGGUAAUGGGUAAAGAAGCACCGGCUAACUACGUG
rnacentral:rRNA from 1 species